UACGUAGGGUGCGAGCGUUGUCCGGAAUUAUUGGGCGUAAAGAGCUCGUAGGCGGCUUGGUAAGUCAGGUGUGAAACCUCCAGGCUCAACCUGGAGACGCCACUUGAUACUGUCAUAGCUAGAGUCCGGUAGGGGAGCGUGGAAUUUCUGGUGUAGCGGUGAAAUGCGCAGAUAUCAGAAGGAACACCAGCGGCGAAGGCGGCGCUCUGGGCCGGAACUGACGCUGAGGAGCGAAAGCGUGGGUAGCAAACAGG
rnacentral:rRNA from 1 species